rnacentral:lncRNA from 1 species
UCCAUCUUCUAUACUUCUACAAUGUGUGAGUUUUGCCGUAACAACACAUAUGGAUUCUACUAUCAGUGUAAGACGUGUGAUAUUAAAAUUGAUAUACGUUGUGCAUUCUUACCCACCAAGAUAAAGCAUAAAUCACACAACCACCAUUNAUGUGUGAGAUUUGCCGUAACAACACAAAUGGAUUCUACUAUCAGUGUAAGACGUGUGAUAUUAAAAUUGAUAUACGUUGUGCAUUCUUACCCACCAAGAUAAAGCAUAAAUCACACAACCACCAUUCCCUUGUUCUACGUCCAUCCUCCAAUUCGGUGUGUCGUGUAAGUGGUAUUCGGGUUACAGGUGGUAUGGAAUAUGGAUGUAAAAUUUGCAGUAAGUUCCAGAUGCGUAUAGCAUGUGCAUUCUAUCCCAGUAUGAUGAAACACAAAUAUGAUGAUCACCCCAUAACCUUGAGACUACCUCCAUUCUUCUACGAGGGAGUAUUCUAUUGUGAAAUAUGUGAGGGACAAGUUAACAAUCAGUGGUGGCUCUAUCAUUGUGGUGAAUGUGAUCAUUCUAUGCACACUUAUUGCCUCCGUUGGAUAGAAAGUCUUAAGCUUGGAAGGAGUGUUGAACUUGAUAUCAACGAUCAAUUACACACACUUACCUUGGUGUUAAAGACGCGUGCAACAAUUACUCAGCCUAUGAACAAGUGUAGAUAUUGUAAGAAAGAGUACAUCACUAAUCUCUUCUUAGAAUGUGAUGUGUGUGGAUAUCUUAUCUGCUGUCCCUGUUUCAAGAAAAUCAAGGCGAGUAACAAGUCCAUACACUUUUGAUGCAGCCAUUUCUUUA